UACGUAGGUGGCGAGCGUUUGUCCGGAAUUACUGGGCGUAAAGCGCGCGUAGGCGGCUUUGCAAGUCGGGUGUGAAAUCCCCAGGCUUAACCUGGGAACUGCAUUCGAGACUGCAUUGCUAGAGUAUGGGAGAGGGAAGUGGAAUUUCCGGUGUAGCGGUGAAAUGCGUAGAUAUCGGAAGGAACAUCAGUGGCGAAAGCGACUUCCUGGACCAAUACUGACGCUCAUGUGCGAAAGCGUGGGGAGCAAACAGG
rnacentral:rRNA from 1 species